rnacentral:rRNA from 1 species
UACAGAGGCCUCGAGCGUUAGGCGGAAUCACUGGGCUUAAAGCGUGUGUAGGCGGACUUCUAAGUACCUUGUGAAAUCCCACGGCUCACCCGUGGAACUGCUCGGUAUACUGGUCGUCUUGAGCCUUCUAGGGGCGAGUGGAACAAAUGGUGGAGCGGUGAAAUGCGUAGAUAUCAUUUGGAACGCCAAUGGUGAAAACAACUCGCUGGGGAAGUGCUGACGCUGAGACACGAAAGCCAGGGAGCGAACGGG